GUCAGAAAAUGACGCUCAUGGGGCGUGGCUUUUACCAUAUAUGGAGGUCUGACGAUUCCUGUCAAGCAGUGGCGCUCGACUGUUCGAGUAUUAGCCUAUAGAAGCAACCUGAGAACACUCGCUCUACUUUUCUCUUGCAAUGUGAGUCAAGCCACAUGAGCCAUCCUGAGCACACACACAAACACACACUGACAAACUGAUCAUCUUAAAAAAGCAACGCCCUGGUGCUCACUUGGCCUACUUUCCACGGCAUGCAGCAGCAGUAGCAGCAGCAGCAGCAGCAGAGGGACGUGGGAGGAGAAGGAAAAACAUUCAGGAGCUCUCUGGGAAGAAUACUUCAUAUAGUAUAUAGUCAUUGAACACUGGCCACCUCACAUUCUGUUUAUAUACUAUUGUUUACUCAUUGUGUAUGCAUAUACUGUUUUCUCAACAUAGCUCAUCCUAAUGUGCCAACUACUGUCCAUACCAUUUUUUUCCCAUGUUACAGUGCCUUCAAAUUACAGUGCCUGCAUACCCCUCCACUUAUUCCACAUUUUGUUGUGUUACAGACUGAAUUAAAAAUGGAUUACAUUAAAACAAAAAUCUACCAUCUACACACAAUACCCCAUAAUGACAUAGUGAAAACAUGUUUUUAGAAAUUGUUGCAAAUGUAUUGAAAAUCAAAUACAGAGAUAUCUAAUUUACAUAAGCAUUCACACCCAUGAGUCAAUACUUUGCAUAGUCUUCCUGUGUAAGUCUCUAAGACACUGGUUCUCAAUCCUGGUCCCGGGGGCCUAAUGGGGUGCACAUUUUUAUUUUUGCCCCAGCACUACACAGCUGAUUCAAAUUAUCAGCUCAUCAAAAGGCUUUGAUGAUUUGAAUCAGGUGUGUAGUGCUAGGGCAAAAACAAAAAUGUGCACCCUUUGGGUCCUCAGGACUAGGAUUGAGAACCACUGCUCGAAGAGCUUUUAACACCUGGAUUGUGCAACAUUUUCCCAUGAUUGUUUUCAAAAUUCUUUAAACACUGUCAAAUUGGUUGUUCAUCAUUGCUAGACAUCCAUUUUCAGGUCUUGACAUAUAUUUUCAAGUAGAUGUAAGUAAAAAAUGUAACUCGGCCACUCAUGAACACCACUGGCUUCUUGGUAGGCAACUCCAGUGUAGAUUUGGCCUUGUGUUUUAAGUUAUUGUCCUGCUGAAACAUGAAUUCAUAUCACUGUGUCUGGUGAAAAGCAGACUGAACCAGGUUUUCCUCUAGGAUUUUCCUGUGCUUAGCUCCAUUCCGUUCCUUUUUUAUCCUGAAAAGCUACCCAGCCCAUAUCAAUUAUAAGCAUACCCAUAACAUGAUGCAGCUACCACUAUGCUUGAAAAUAUUGAGAGUGAUACUCAGUAAUGUGUUGUAUUGUAUUUGCCCCAAAAAUAACGUUUCGUAUUCAGGACAAAAAGUUAAUUGUUUUGCCACAUUUUUUAAAUAAUUACUUUAGUGCCUUGUUGCAAACAAAAUGCAUGUUUGGAAUAUUUGUAUUCUGUACAAGCUUCCUUAUUUUCACUCUUUCACUAGGUUACUACUGUGGAGUACCAACAAUGUUAUUGAUCCAUACUCAGUUUUCUCCUAUCACAGACAUUAAACUUUCUAACUGUUUUAUAGUCA